rnacentral:rRNA from 1 species
UACGUAGGGGGCAAGCGUUGUCCGGAAUCAUUGGGCGUAAAGCGCGCGUAGGCGGCCCGGUAAGUCCGCUCUGAAAGUCCAGGGCUCAACCCUGGAAAGCGGGUGGAUACUGCCGGGCUAGAAUCCGGAAGAGGCCGAGUGGAAUUCCUGGUGUAGCGGUGGAAAUGCGCAGAUAUCAGGAGGAACACCAAUAGCGAAGGCAGCUCGCUGGGACGGUAUUGGACGCUGAGGCGCGAAGCGUGGGGAGCAAACAGG